rnacentral:rRNA from 1 species
AUACGGAGGAUGCGAGCGUUAUCCGGAUUUAUUGGGUUUAAAGGGAGCGUAGGUGGGAUAUUAAGUCAGCUGUGAAAGUUUGGCGCUCAACCUUAAAAUUGCAGUUGAUACUGGUUUCCUUGAGUACGGUACAGGUGGGCGGAAUUCGUGGUGUAGCGGUGAAAUGCUUAGAUAUCACGAAGAACUCCGAUCGCGAAGGCAGCUCACCGGGCCGGAACUGACACUGAUGCUCGAAAGUGCGGGUAUCAAACAGGAUUAGAUACCCUGGUAGUCCGCACAGUAAACGAUGAAUACUCGCUGUUUGCGAUACACGGUAAGCGGCCAAGCGAAAGCGUUAAGUAUUCCACCUGGGGAGUACGCCGGCAACGGUGAAACUCAAAUGAAUUGGCGGGG